GAUCCUGGCUCAGGACAAACGCUGGCGGCGUGCCUAACACAUGCAAGUCGAGCGGGGAUUGUGGAAGUGCUUGCACGGAAGCAAUUCUAGCGGCGGACGGGUGAGUAACGCGUGAGCAAGCUGUCCUUCACAGGGGGAUAACACUUGGAAACAGGUGCUAAUACCGCAUAAGACCACGCAGCCGCAUGGCAGAGAGGUCAAAGGAGAAAUCCGGUGAAGGGUGCGCUCGCG
rnacentral:rRNA from 1 species